UACGGAGGGUGCAAGCGUUGUCCGGAUUUAUUGGGUUUAAAGGGUGCGUAGGCGGUCUUUUAAGUCAGUGCUGAAAUAUCCCGGCUUAACCGGGAGGGUGGCAUUGAUACUAUAGGUCUUGAAUUCAGUUGAGGUGGGCGGAAUGUGUCGUGUAGCGGUGAAAUGCUUAGAUAUGACACAGAACACCGAUUGCGAAGGCAGCUCGCUAAACUGACAUUGACGCUGAGGCACGAAAGCGUGGGGAUCAAACAGG
rnacentral:rRNA from 1 species